rnacentral:rRNA from 1 species
AUUGAACGCUGGCGGCAUGCUUUACACAUGCAAGUCGAACGGCAGCACGGGGCAACCUGGUGGCGAGUGGCGAACGGGUGAGUAAUAUAUCGGAACGUACCCAAGAGUGGGGGAUAACGUAGCGAAAGUUACGCUAAUACCGCAUACGAUCUAAGGAUGAAAGCAGGGGAUCUUCGGACCUUGUGCUCCUGGAGCGGCCGAUAUCUGAUUAGCUAGUUGGUGAGGUAAAGGCUCACCAAGGCGACGAUCAGUAGCUGGUCUGAGAGGACGACCAGCCACACUGGAACUGAGACACGGUCCAGACUCCUACGGGAGGCAG